CCUCUCACCUGUGCCUCAGAAACUCUGAUGUCACAUUCCAUCAAAGCAAAAAUUCACUUCAACAUAAAUCUUUAACAAGUGGAGAAGGCGGAGGCCUUCUAAGGCCAUCACGGGCAGAAGAGAAAACAAUCUUUGAUGGAGAGUUUUCAGAGGACUUGAGGCAUGGGAUUGCACAGUGUAGACACGGAUGCAGAGUAAGCCCAGAUAAAUAAAAUCGACAAGUGCAUGAGAGGCCAUGAUGCUGUGAAGCAUGCCAAAGGAACUAUGUCGAAUCAAAAAGGCACAGUGUCACACUAGGGAGAACAAGAGGAGGUGUGCAGGACACCUGCUUUCACUGCUGUGCUGCACGAGAGCCUGAGGUUGAGACGAUGACCUUUGGGACACUCUGCAAGGUUCAGCUGCUUACCCAACCCUUUUCUGCAGUCACCGCCCUGCACCCUUGAAGCAGCUCUGCAGAAAUCCAAGAAGCCAUUCAGAUUCAUAAUGUGUGAGGAUCAUUAGGAGCAAUUCAGUUACCCACAUGCCAGUCCACCAACGUCAAUGGGACUACAAAGAAGCAGGCAAAGAUGGGAAUGCAGCCUAAGGGCUAAGUAUUUCAAGGAAGGAAUCCCUGACUCAUGACCUUAAAGCAGGGAAGCCUUCAUAAAUCACUUCUCCCACUA